GACGAACGCUGGCGGCGUGCUUAACACAUGCAAGUCGAACGGAAAGGCCCUGCUUUUGUGGGGUGCUCGAGUGGCGAACGGGUGAGUAACACGUGAGUAACCUGCCCUUGACUUUGGGAUAACUUCAGGAAACUGGGGCUAAUACCGGAUAGGAGCUCCUGCUGCAUGGUGGGGGUUGGAAAGUUUCGGCGGUUGGGGAUGGACUCGCGGCUUAUCAGCUUGUUGGUGGGGUAGUGGCUUACCAAGGCUUUGACGGGUAGCCGGCCUGAGAGGGUGACCGGCAAAAUGGGGCUGGGGAUCCGGCCAAGCCUCUUACGGGGGGAGGCGGGGGGGAAUAUUCAACAAGGGGCGGAGCCCUGAGCAGGAACGGCGGCGGGCGGGAUGACGCCUUUCGGGUUGUAAACGGCUUUCGCUUGGGACGAGGGGUGGGUGACGGUAAUGGGUAAAGAAGAACCGGUAAAUUCCGU
rnacentral:rRNA from 1 species